rnacentral:tRNA from 1 species
GGAUUGUGGCUCAGCGGUAGAGCACUCCCCUAGCAAGAGCGGGGCCCGGGUUCGAUCCUCAGCACCA